UAAUUUUGGAAGAUGGAAUUUCAAUGGAGA
rnacentral:piRNA from 1 species